GCAACAACAACAACAACAAAAACUGGAAUGAUACAGAGAAGAUUAUCAUCGCUCCUGUGCAAGGAUGGCACAUAAAUUAAUGAAGUAUUCCAUAUUUUU
rnacentral:snRNA from 1 species